AACGAACGCUGGCGGCACGCCUAACACAUGCAAGUCGAACGAGACCUUCGGGUCUAGUGGCGCACGGGUGCGUAACGCGUGGGAAUCUGCCCUUGGGUUCGGAAUAACAGUUAGAAAUGACUGCUAAUACCGGAUGAUGUCUUCGGACCAAAGAUUUAUCGCCCAGGGAUGAGCCCGCGUAGGAUUAGGUAGUUGGUGGGGUAAUGGCCCACCAAGCCGACGAUCCUUAGCUGGUCUGAGAGGAUGAUCAGCCACACUGGGACUGAGACACGGCCCAGACUCCUACGGGAGGCAGCAGUGGGGAAUAUUGGACAAUGGGCGAAAGCCUGAUCCAGCAAUGCCGCGUGAGUGAUGAAGGCCUUAGGGUUGUAAAGCUCUUUUACCAGGGAUGAUAAUGACAGUACCUGGAGAAUAAGCUCCGGCUAACUCCGUGCCAGCCGCCGCAGUAAAAC
rnacentral:rRNA from 1 species